GACGAACGCUGGCGGCGUGCCUAAUACAUGCAAGUAGAACGCUGAAGGAGGAGCUUGCUUCUCUGGAUGAGUUGCGAACGGGUGAGUAACGCGUAGGUAACCUGCCUGGUAGCGGGGGAUAACUAUUGGAAACGAUAGCUAAUACCGCAUAAUAGUAGAUGUUGCAUGACAUUUGCUUAAAAGGUGCAAUUGCAUCACUACCAGAUGGACCUGCGUUGUAUUAGCUAGUUGGUGGGGUAACGGCUCACCAAGGCGACGAUACAUAGCCGACCUGAGAGGGUGAUCGGCCACACUGGGACUGAGACACGGCCCAGACUCCUACGGGAGGCAGCAGUAGGGAAUCUUCGGCAAUGGACGGAAGUCUGACCGAGCAACGCCGCGUGAGUGAAGAAGGGUGUCGGAUCGUAAAGCUCUGUUGUAAGAGAAGAACGAGUGUGAGAGUGGAAAGUUCACACUGUGACGGUAGCUUACCAGAAAGGGACGGCUAACUACGUG
rnacentral:rRNA from 1 species